rnacentral:rRNA from 1 species
GGGUUAGUGGCAAACGGGUGAGUAAUGCAUAGGUAACCUGCCCUUCAGAUUGGGAUAACGUUUCGAAAGGAGCGCUAAUACCAAAUACGUUCUUUUCUUCACAAGAAGAAAAGAAGAAAUGUUUUUUCGCUGAAGGAGGGGCUUAUGUCCGAUUAGCUUGUUGGUGGGGUAAUGGCCUACCAAGGCGACUAUCGGUAGCUGGUCUGAGAGGAUGAUCAGCCACACUGGGACUGAGAUACGGCCCAGACUCC